UAAGAGACAGCAGAGCCGCGGUAAUACAGAGGGUGCGAGCGUUAAUCGGAUUUACUGGGCGUAAAGCGUGCGUAGGCGGCUUUUUAAGUCGGAUGUGAAAUCCCUGAGCUUAACUUAGGAAUUGCAUUCGAUACUGGGAAGCUAGAGUAUGGGAGAGGAUGGUAGAAUUCCAGGUGUAGCGGUGAAAUGCGUAGAGAUCUGGAGGAAUACCGAUGGCGAAGGCAGCCAUCUGGCCUAAUACUGACGCUGAGGUACGAAAGCAUGGGGAGCAAACAGGAUUAGAUACCCCGGUAGUCCCUGUCUCUUAUACA
rnacentral:rRNA from 1 species